rnacentral:rRNA from 1 species
AGAACGAACGCUGGCGGCAGGCCUCAAACAUGCAAGUCUAGGGGGUGUAGCAAUACAUCACCGGCGGACGGGUGCGUAACACGUGGGAAUAUACCUUUUGGUUCGGAACAACGCAGGGAAACUUGCGCUAAUACCGAAUGUGCCCUUACGGGGAAAGAUUUAUCGCCAAAGGAUUAGCCCGCGUAGGAUUAGCUAGUUGGUGAGGUAAUGGCUCACCAAGGCUCCGAUCCUUAGCUGUUCUGAGAGGAAGAUCAGCCACACUGGGACUGAGACACGGCCCAGACUCCUACGGGAGGCAGCAGUUGGGAAUCUUGGACAAUGGGGGAAACCCUGAUCCAGCCAUGCCGCGUGAGUGAUGAAGGCCUUCGGGUUGUAAACCCCUUUUCAGCACAGACGAAGCGCAAGUGACGGUAUGUGCAGAAGAAGCACCGGCCAACUACGCGCCAGCAGCCGC